CAGUAUCCGCGGGAAUACGUAGGUGGCAAGCGUUGUCCGGAAUUAUUGGGCGUAAAGCGCGCGCAGGUGGUUUAAUAAGUCUGAUGUGAAAGCCCCCGGCUCAACCGGGGAGGGUCAUUGGAAACUGGUUGACUUGAGUGCAGAAGAGGAGAGUGGAAUUCCAUGUGUAGCGGUGAAAUGCGUAGAUAUAUGGAGGAACACCAGUGGCGAAGGCGACUCUCUGGUCUGUAACUGACGUUGAGGCUCGAAAGCGUGGGUAGCAAACAGGAUUAGAGACCCCCGUAGUCCCUGUCUCUUAUAC
rnacentral:rRNA from 1 species